ACUCUCUAAAGAUGUCCAACUUGU
rnacentral:siRNA from 1 species